ACAGUGGAAGGUCAGAAUGGGGAAGGCACUACUGAAGUACUGAGCGCCGCCAACCCCAAGUGCUUGAAUCUGAAAGAGGCAAAGGCAGACCAAGUCACAGAGCAGAUAGCUGAGCUUUUCAAGACAUGCAGCUGGCACCUAUCUCUGUGGACGAAAUGAUGUGCUAACUGCCCGUCUUGCUCUCUGUGAGUCUUUCCCUCACAGGAGAGCGUGCCAAUGCGGAUGGUUCAGUUGCAUCUACUCUAGCCAUGCUUUGCUUUUGAUGAUGCAGGGAUGAAGAAAGGCUUGGUGACUCUGUGCCCCACUGCGCGGAGAAGACGGGGAGAGAAGGAAGAAGAUGGGGACAUAAGGAGAAGACGGGGAACUGGCUGAUUUGAGAUUAAUAACAUCAAAAAUGUGCUUGGAGGGGGAAGAUUUUCAUUCUUUGUGAUGUCCGUAUAUGAAAUAGUAUUAAUAGGGUGGAUGCAAUUCUGAGAAUUCCUAAGCCUGCGUUAGUCCUGUUAGAUAACUCUUGCUUCUGCUAAUCAUACUCAGAGCCCUUUGGGAGAUCUAAUUUCUCUCUCUCUCUCUCUCUCUCUCUCUCUCUCUCUCUCUCUCUCCUUUACCAGUACAUCUUAGCCUUCAUUGUUAUAACUCCCUUUGUUCACAUAAAUGGGUUUGUUGCUCAUUCCUUUUACAAACUGCAGUACUCCACUAGCUGCCAUUUGGAGAGAAGGUAUUCUUGUUCUCUCUAUCGUUGAUUAUAAAUUGAGUUUUAAUCGUUGAUUAUAAACUUUGUUAUGAAGCCUCAAGAGACAAAGCAUGCCAGCUCUCUACCUCUUUGAGAGAAAGCUGCACAGAGUUACACAGCCAAGAGGAGAGGGGAAGAGAGCCUUCCCAACCUGGCCUGUACUCCUUCCUGGCUUCACCUCAUUCGCUCCAUAAUUCCUCAAAGGCUAAAACUAUUUUUUUUAAGAUUUUAUUUAUUUUAUGUAUGUGAGUACACUGUAGCUGUCUUCAGACACACCGGAAGAGGGCAUCUGAUCCUAUUACAGAUGGUUGUGUGUCACCAUGUGGUUGCUGGGAAUUGAACUCAGGACCUCUGGAAGAGCAAUCAGUGCUCUUAACCACUGAACCAUCUCUCUAGUUUGCUAAAACUUUUUUAAAAAUUCACUCCAUUACCCUUCCUACAAAGGGGGUUGGAGGCAGGGGCUACUGUCUUGGAGUAUUUUAACAAUUCAGUGACAUGGCCGAGAUUUUCAAAAGACCUCCCAAUUCAUGCUGUCCAACAGAAAUGUAAUGCAAGCCAUGUCUGUAAUUUAGACUUGCAAGUAGCCACACUUCCAAAAGGCAGAGAAGAAGCUGGGGAAAUUAAUUAUAAUAACACAUUUUCUUUAAUCUGAUGUAUCCAAAAUAUUAUCAUUUCAAGACCUAGUCACCAAAUCUAUGUUAAUGGAAUAUUUUACAUUUAUUUUAUUUCCUACUAAGUCUCUAAAAGCCAAUGUGGAUUUUACACACUGAGACAGUGCACUUUCAUAAGAAAUACUCACUUUAUAUUUAGCUUUGUCAAGACUUGCAGUUGAAAAAAAAUAGAUUCACAUACACAAGUUGUGCCAAAAGUACUUAAAUAUUUCCUAAAAUCUGAAUCAAGUAUAAGUGUUUUAAAUUUAAAAUAAUUAAGAUGAAAUAAACAUGGAAAG
ensembl:lincRNA Gm5860 predicted gene 5860